ensembl:lncRNA
GGAUUGGGCACUCGGCAGCCUAGUCUAGGAUUAGAUAUGAUGCAGAUGGGAUUCAAGCAUCUGUUUUGCAGCCAGCUCGAGUGGAGCUCUUGGAGCUCAUGGGCGCCCCAUGCCCGCAUCAGCGUGGGUAGUGUGUGCCCUUCCUGCGCGGUGGGGCUUUGGUGUUUGGAGGCUGACGCUGAGGAGACUGUGUUUCUUCGUUUAUCGGUGGCAGCAAUCCAGCUCUGUCGGCAGAGGACUCCUGCGGCUGGCUGGCCUCAGCCUGAGAUGUUGAUGCUUCCAUCUCCUCAGGUUCUUUCUGCCUGCUCUUCUUAGCCCUGCGCCUCAGAAGUCUGACUGAGUCGCAUGCCAGAAGUGGCAGCCGGGAUGGAGUGCCUUGCGAUGCCUGCGACGGGCUGGACUGAGCCCUUGAGGAAGGUCUGGAAUCGUUGCUGAAAGAUUCGUUGGCUUUGGGCAACUUCAGCACCGCAGCCACACGAUGGGCUUUUUCCGCUUCCCGUUCUUCCUCACGGAAGCUCACGUGUUUGGUUCCCGGGGCUCGGCCCAGGUCUUCUUGGCUGUCUGUUUCUGCCUGGCCCUGCAGCUGGCAGGUCAGCGGCUGCUUUUGGUCUUCAGGCACUCCAGGGAUGGCUGGCAGCAGACUGAAAGGACAGAGCAGGAGGGGUCCGCCUGAGUGGGUGAUGGUUUUGGGGCCGCGUCCUGCAAGCCGGAGCCAGGACCCUUGGCUGCAACGCAGCCUUCCCCACAGACAGCUCAGCGGCUGCCCCGUGGCUCUCCCCCGUGGGAUCCAGAGAGGGGCCAGCCCUGUGAGCUGGGGGGCUCCUGGCGUCCCCAUCCCAGCACUGUUGGGCAGCCAGAAACAGGGACCCUUUGGGGCUAGGGAAUGGGCUCUCGUUGGCUCAGUCAAUCACCCCCAUGCACAUGCCAAGCCAGAGCCUCCAGCCUCACCUGGACGUAGAGCUCUCCUUGCGCAGUAAGCUCCUUAUCCUUCGGAGUUUUCCUCCAUCUAGACUGUCCGAGCUCAAGCGUUUGAUGAAAGUUGGCUUGCCAGCAAAUCUCACUGGGAUUGGGAAGGCAGAGGAGACUUACCGUCAACCCUUUGGCUCACUCACCAGGGGCGCUCAGGCCUGUUCCCAGAACAUGCGAGAGGGCCGCUCUGCUCCCCCCACUGCUGACAUCUGUGCCGCCCGCGGACCCUCCCUGAAACCAUCUCUGGCCCCACUCCUCCUCUCUGCCAUCUUGGGACUCUCUUUUGGGAGUGCAUUAGUGACGCUGGCUUUGGGAAAGCGGAGCUGGGUGGUGACGAUGAGCUGACAGGGUGACUUUUGGGGACCAUAUCCUUUUGUUGGGGGAGGGCGGGGCCUAAGGUGCCGAGGUGCUCCUGCCAUAGCCAGGGAUGGGGGCACGUCACAGCCAGCGCCUUGGUUUUGGAGAGGCCAACAAUUCCUCGUGGGAAGAGGCCGUGCUGAGCUGGCGUGAAGCUUUGACGUAAGUCAGAGCCCUUGGCUGAUGUUCAGCAAGGGAUUUCCCAUCUCAAGUUGGUGGCUUGUGCCCUGGAAAGGCGCUGG